AUCGUUCAUCUUAUUGAUUAAGUGAGACGGAAGUAGGUUAGGGAACCGAAGGAACGCUGU
rnacentral:ncRNA from 10 species